UAGUGACUUAAAACAACCAAAAUGUAUUCCCUUACAGGUCUGAAGGCCAGAAUUCUACAGUAAGUCCUACUGAGUCAAGGUGGGAGCAGGGUCGGUAGCUUCCGAGGCUCUGCGGGAGAAUCUGUUUCCUGGCCGUAGAGGUGGCCUGCACUCCUCAGCCUGUGCUGCCCGUCUCGAAUGACUGGAGUUUCCUGCUUCUGUCACUACACCUCCCACCCUCUCCAUCACCUGCUCUGCUCUUACAAGGAUCCGAAGAAAUGGAAUCAUCGUAUCGCUGAUCUACGUAAACAAACUGAAGAAUUGUCUGAAAGAAAAUAUGGUAUGUCUAAACUGGAAAAGUCUUGUAAUCUUAUGUUCAUGGGCGUUUACACAGUGGAGUUACUGUUCAUCAUGGGGGUACCGUGGACAAGCCCAGGGCUGCCGGCGAGUCAUGCCAUCCUUACAUGUUUCUCCUUGUAAGGUGCUUUGUAGUGUCUACACACUUUGUUUCUAGAUUGCUGCAAAGCUGAGGAAAAGUUGUAUUUCUUUAGUUAUUAGUUAGCAUUUCUUUUAAACUUUCAGUAUGGAGAUUGGAAAUUUAUUUACAUAUUUAUUGCAAAGCCCUGGAUCUUAGGAAUUUCAUUGAAUUAUUUAUUUAUUUUUUUUGAGACGGAGCCUCACUCUGUCGCCCAGGCUGGAGUGCAGUGGCACGAUCUCGGCUCACUGCAACCUCCGCCUCCCGGGUUCAAGCAGUUCUCUGCCUCAGCCUCCCGAGCAGCUAGGAUUACAGGCACCAGCCACCACGCCUGGCUGAUUUUUGUAUUUUUAGUAGAGACGGGGUUUCAUGAUCUUGGCUAGGCUGGUCUUGAACUGCUGACCUCCUGAUCCACUCACCUCAGCCUCCCAAAGUGCUGGGAUUAUAGGUGUGAGCCACCAUGCCUGGCCAAAUAUUAUUUUUUUAAAUGAAUUGUUUCUCUUAGUCUGCUUUGUUAAAUUUGGAAUUCAUCUGGGCGCGGUGGCUCACACCUGUAAUCCCAGCACUUUGGGAGGCCAAGGCAGGCAGAUAUCUAGGUCGGGAGUUCGAGACCAGCCUGACCAACAUGGAGAAACCCCGUCUCUACUAAAAAUACAAAAUUAGACGGGUGUGGUGGCGCAUGUCUGUAAUCCCAGCUAUUCGGGAGGCCAAGGCAGGAGAAUCGCUUGAACCCAGGAGGCAGAGGUUGCAGUGAGGCGAGGUUGGCACCAUUGCACUCUAGCCUGGGCAAAAAGAGCAAAACUCCAUCUCAAAAUAAAUAAGUAAAUAAAUAAAAUGUUCAGUACUCAGCAAGGUGCCCCUGUUGUCUCUGCUUUUAUCUUGAUGCAUCACUGAAUUGAUGUUAGAUUUCAAAUUCAUCAUUGCCCUGAUACUAUUCUAUCCUGAAGCCACCUUUAUAUAGUGAUGAAAGAAAUUAGCGAUUUGUUAUUAUCCUCUCUCUGUUGGUAUACAUCAAAUACUCACCUAAAAAAGAGCAACAACCAGUGGAAAACAUGAUGUUUUUAUUUGGGUGACUAUUUACUUGUAACCUACUAGCAAACUAUAAAAUUGUAUGAUAUGCAGAAUUUUAACUGAAUUGCUUUAAGUGAACAUUUAAACAUGAUAAACAAUAUUGAUGGCAUUUAUGUUAAUAUACUUAAAAGGAACAUUUUUCUUCAUCAUGAGUAAUAUAACCUACUCCUCAAUGAAAACCUAGCACUAAAUUUGCUAAUGAAUUCAAUAACAUUUCCAUAAUAUUUUUAGUUACAUGCUUAAGGUUCUCUUAGUGUUUCUCCCACUUUUUAAUAGCUUAUGCCUUUUUCACCUUUGGUUUUUUUUUG
rnacentral:lncRNA from 1 species